GCUUGCUGGGGGGAUUAGUGGCGAACGGGUGAGUAACACGUGAGUAACCUGCCCUUGACUCUGGGAUAAGCCUGGGAAACUGGGUCUAAUACUGGAUACGACCUUCCAUCGCAUGGUGGUUGGUGGAAAGCUUUUGUGGUUUUGGAUGGACUCGCGGCCUAUCAGCUUGUUGGUGGGGUAAUGGCCUACCAAGGCGACGACGGGUAGCCGGCCUGAGAGGGUGGACGGCCACACUGGGACUGAGACACGGCCCAGACUCCUACGGGAGGCAGCAGUGGGGAAUAUUGCACAAUGGGCGCAAGCCUGAUGCAGCGACGCCGCGUGAGGGAUGAAGGCCUUCGGGUUGUAAACCUCUUUCAGUAGGGAAGAAGCGAAAGUGACGGUACCUGCAGAAGAAGCGCCGGCUAACUACGUGCCAGCAGCCGCGGUAAUACGUAGGGCGCAAGCGUUAUCCGGAAUUAUUGGGCGUAAAGAGCUCGUAGGCGGUUUGUCGCGUCUGCCGUGAAAGUCCGGGGCUUAACUCCGGAUCUGCGGUGGGUACGGGCAGACUUGAGUGAUGUAGGGGAGACUGGAAUUCCUGGUGUAGCGGUGAAAUGCGCAGAUAUCAGGAGGAACACCGAUGGCGAAGGCAGGUCUCUGGGCAUUAACUGACGCUGAGGAGCGAAAGCAUGGGGAGCGAACAGGAUUAGAUACCCUGGUAGUCCAUGCCGUAAACGUUG
rnacentral:rRNA from 1 species